UUUUUUUGGCCUAUAUAUAAUGGGAAAACAAAAGGAGAGAAAUCAUAUGUAAGAUUGUUUUUGUAGAAGACAUGGGUAUCUCUUAUCCUUUUCGUUGUCUAAUGUUAAUUCUCCUCAUCACUUUCCAUCAUCAUUUGGUUUAUGCAGAUUUAAAGAUAAGGAAACUUGGAGAUCAUCCCACGACACCUGCACCUCCAUCUCCGGAAAAAAACGGUCAAAUCAAUAAUAAUCCUUAAUAGUAGAGUCGUCAAUUUAUUUGUAAGUUUACUUUAAAGGUAAAAUCAUCAAAAAUAUAUGUUCAAAUUUGAAGUUUGAAUUUAGAUGAAAACCCUCAUGUAUGUUAGUAAUAAAUAAUAAUAAUAAUACUAGAGUUAUUAUCUA